rnacentral:rRNA from 1 species
ACGCUGGCUACAGGCUUAACACAUGCAAGUCAAGGGGCAGCAUGGGGUUUGCUUGCAAACCCCGAUGGCGACCGGCGCACGGGUGAGUAUCGCGUAUCCAACCUUCCCGCGACUCGGGUAUAACCUGCCGAAAGGCAGACUAAUCCCCGAUGUCCUCCACUUUGGACAUCUUUUGUGGAGUAAAGGCUUCGGCCGGUUGCGGAUGGGGAUGCGUCCGAUUAGUUUGUUGGCGGGGCAAUGGCCCACCAAGGCUUCGAUCGGUAGGGGUUCUGAGAGGAAGGCCCCCCACAUUGGAACUGAGACACGGUCCAAACUCCUACGGGAGGCAGCAGUGAGGAAUAUUGGUCAAUGGGCGGAAGCCUGAACCAGCCAAGUAGCGUGCAGGAUGACGGCCCUAUGGGUUGUAAACUGCUUUUAUGCGGGGAUAACCGGGGCCACGCGUGGCCCCCUGCAGGUACCGCAUGAAUAAGGACCGGCUAAUUCCGUGCCAGCAGCCGCGGUAAUACGGAAGGUCCGGGCGUUAUCCGGAUUCAUUGGGUUUAAAGGGAGCGUAGGCCGUGGAUUAAGCGUGUUGUGAAAUGUAGGCGCUCAACGUCUGACUUGCAGCGCGAACUGGUCCACUUGAGUGUGCGCGACGCAGGCGGAAUUCGUGGUGUAGCGGUGAAAUGCUUAGAUAUCACGAGGAACCCCGAUUGCGAAGGCAGCUUGCGGGAGCACCACUGACGCUGAGGCUCGAAGGUGCGGGUAUCGAACAGGAUUAGAUACCCUGGUAGUCCGCACGGUAAACGAUGGAUGCCCGUUCUCUGGCUCUUUUUGUCGGGGGACCGAGCGAAAGCAUUGAGCAUCCCACCUGGGGAGUACGCCGGCAACGGUGAAACUCAAAGGAAUUGACGGGGGCCCGCACAAGCGGAGGAACAUGUGGUUUAAUU